AGCGAACGCUGGCGGCAGGCUUAACACAUGCAAAUCGAGCGGGCAUCCUUGUGGUGUCAGCGGCAGACGGGUGAGUAACGCGUGGGAACGUGCCCUUCGGUUCGGAAUAACUCAGGGAAACUUGAGCUAAUACCGGAUACGUGCGAGAGCAGAAAGGUUUAUCUGCCGAAGGAUCGGCCCGCGUCUGAUUAGCUAGUUGGUGAGGUUACGGCUCACCAAGGCGACGAUCAGUAGCUGGUCUGAGAGGAUGAUCAGCCACACUGGGACUGAGACACGGCCCAGACUCCUACGGGAGGCAGCAGUGGGGAAUAUUGGACAAUGGGGGCAACCCUGAUCCAGCCAUGCCGCGUGAGUGAUGACGGCCUUAGGGUUGUAAAGCUCUUUUCUCCGGGACGAUAAUGACGGUACCGGAGGAAUAAGCCCCGGCUAACUUCGUG
rnacentral:rRNA from 1 species